UAGUUGCUUAUAAUAAUGCUGAUGAAAAUAUUGCCAGUUAUGUAAGGCUUAUUGAUAUAUUCAGUAUGAAGUAACAGAAGGCUUUCAUAGUUUCACUUUCUAAAAAUAAUUUUUACAUUUUUAAAAAAUUUUUUUGAGAGUGUGCUGUAUGCGUAUUUGUAUGCUAGAGGACAAUAUGUGUGUCUUCCACUAUUGCUCUCUGCCUUAUGACAUGGGGGUCUUACUGAAUCAGGCACUCACUAAUUGGUCUAGAUCACCUGGUCAGUGUGUGCUGGCAUCUCCUGACUGUGUCCCCAGUACUAAGUUUACAGAUGUACGUGACCAUGCCCGGCUUUUAUAUGGCACCUGUGGAUCCAGAUGGCGGUCCUAAUGCUUUCGUGGCAUGUUGUUUGAGCCAACUGAGGAAUCUAACUUAUCUUGGCUUAUAUGUAUAUCUAUUUGUGAUGCAUAUGUGUUUGUAUGUACAUGGGCACACUUGUGCAAACAUGCAUGCACAUGUGUGUACCUGUGUGUGGAGGCCAGAGGUUAACAUUGGUGUGUUCCUUGAUUCCUUUUCACUCUGUUUAUUGUGGUAGGUCUCGCGUAUACCCAGACUUCACUGACUUGGCUAGUCUAGCUGGCCAUCAUUCUUACCUGGCUUUAUAUAUGGUUCUGGGAAUCUGAGCUCUAAUCUCAUACUUGCAUGUUAUAUACUUUACCUUCUGAGCCAUCUCCUUAGUCCCCAAAAUGAUGUGUAAAAGUGAUACAUGUUAAAAUAGUGCCUUUUAACCAAAAAUAGGUGGACUGAAUUAGUAUUUAUUCUGUUUAAGUAAAAAUUAGUUCUAAAUCUAUUGUGUAUGUGGGUGAUGUGGGUGUCAUGGUUCCUUGUGGAGGUUAGAGGAUAUCUUGGGGAAUUUGUUUCCUUUUCCUUGGUAUAUAAGUUCUGGGGAACAAUCUUAAAUUUACAAAUUGAAGCCAUUGGCUUUCAUUGUUGUUGUUGUUGUUUUGAGGGACCAUAGGUUAUACCCAUAGUCUUGGGUAUGCUUUGCAAGCAGCGAAUCACUGAGCCAUGUCCUCCAGCCACUGACUGUUGAAUUUUCAUCUGACAGAUGAUACCAGCUAUUGUUGAGAAGCUCCCACUGGAGUUCUGUGUAGGCAGCCAUGAGCCAUGUUGAUAAGACUUCAUGGGUGUAGUGUUUGACAUUUCUAGGAGACCCAGUCUCACAGCAAAUUUUCUGUCCCUCUGGCUUGCUUUUUUUUUUUUUUUUUUUUACUUUUUUAAAGAUUUAUUUAUUAUUAUAUGUAAGUACACUGUAGCUGUCUUCAACCAGAAGAAGAUGUCAGAUCACAUUACAAAUGGUUGUGAGCCACCGUGUUGCUGGGAUUUGAACUCAGGACCUCUGGAAGAGCAGUUGGUGCUCUAACCGGGGCUCAUGUUGGCCUAAAAGUCACUUGGAGCCCAGGUAGGUUUGUGCCACCACACCUAACUGCUGCUUUUAGACAACCUUAAAAUAUAUUUCACUUAAAAAUGGUCUAUUAACUUUUCUUUAGUAUUUUAAUGGUCUUUGUUAUUUGUUUUUGUUAGUGACUACUUAAUAUAGUUGGUUUGAUGAUGGAGACAUUUUAUACAUCCUACUAGAAAAAUAUAAUUACAACUUUGUGCUUAUUAGUUAAAAUGUGGGGCUGGAGAAAUGGCUCAGUGAUUAAGAGCACUGACUGCUUUUCCAGAGAACCUGGGUUCACUUCCCCGAACUCACAUGGCAGCUCACAAACUGUCUGUAACUCCAGCAUCUGCUACCCUUAAUACAGAUAUACAUGCAGGCAAGACAUCAGUGCACAUAAAAUAAAAGUAAAUUAAUUAAAAAAUAGUUAAAAUCUAAGUUCUUUGUUUCAGAAUUUUAUUUUGUUUUAAUUAUUUAUUUAUUUAUUUUUGGACAAUGAUGGAGACUGAACUCAUCAUUGUAAAUGCUAGACAAGUGUUCUAUCACAGAGCUACGUCACUAGUUAGAGUUCCAUUUCUUCAUGAAAAAAAUGUGAUCAGAAGUUAGCUGACCUUUUCUGAAACAUAGCUAAUACCUAAAGCAUUUCACUCCUCUUUUUCUCCUUGGUAGGGUUUCACUGUGUCUUUGGCUUGCCUAGAAUAUUCUGUGCAGACCAGAAUAUUCUGGCCUGGAACUUAGAGAAAUCUGCCCGCCUCUGCCUCCUGAGUACUAUGACUAAAGACAAGUGUGCCAACUCAGCUGAAAUCAUCACUUACCUCCCCCCCCAUAAGUCCUGAGCUACCUCUUAACUUGCUGUGUAAGAUGACUUUGAACUUUUUUUUUUUUUCCCCCGAAACAGGGUUUCUCUGUAUAGCCCUGGCUGUCCUGGAACUCACUCUGUAGACCAGGCUGGCCUCGAACUCAGAAAUCCGCCUGCCUCUGCCUCCAGAGUGCUGGGAUUAAAGGCGUGAGCCACCACGCCCGGCGACUUUGAACUUUUAAUAAUUCUGCCUCUGUCUGUCUCCCAAUUACUGGGUUUACAGAUACGUUCCAAGUCAGUAUUUUUGUGCCUUCUUUUUUACACUUAAUAUUAAAUGGCUAUUUAAUGUACCUAGAAAAUGGAGAAAGGAAUUAUAUAUCUUUCAUAUUAAAUUUAUAAAAGUAGUUAGAAAAUGAAGCUUUAAAAAUUUUUUUGAGGCAGGUUUUAAUGUAUAGUCCUGGCCAGUUGGAACUUUAAGUGAUCUCCUGCCCUGGCUUCCCCAGUGUUGGAAUUGCCUGUGCUGCCAUGUCUAGCAAAAAACGAAACAUUGUUACUGCUACAUGCAAGCUUUUGUUUAGAUUGUAAUAUUAUUCAUAUUUGUCCUGCAUCAAAAUGCUGUUUGUCAUAAACAAAAUUAAAAUUAAAGAGUUAUAUUUGUCUUGUUUUUUACUUGUUUAUUUUGUUGUUAUUUAUUUAGCUUUGCAGUGUUUGGGAUUGAAUCUGGGGCCUUGAGCAUGUUAGGGAAAUGUUUUCCCUGCUCUAGAAUUUUACUUUGAUAUAAGAAACUUGGCACUUUAUAGGAGAGACUGGAUUAGGAAAUUUAAAAAUGAGUUAUUUGCCUUUAUACUUUUUUUUUUAGAAUAGUGUAUUUCAAUAGUCUUUAUUAAAUUUAAUCCUGAAAUUCCUUUGUGUGUAGGUUAAUGAACUUUCUGAGGAAGAAGAGGAAGAUGAAAAGCUGGAGCAUAUAGAAGAACUUCCAGAAGAAGGUGUAGAAAAGUCAGCUGGCAUGCCAGAGGUGCUGCAGUUAAGGAUGACUGAAAACCUUCUGGACUCAGACAGUGUUACAGCAUCAACAAGGUAAACAUUUCAGUUGAGUCAACUUUCACUGUAGACUCAAGCACAAGAGACGAGCUUGUGUCGCUGAGCUGUGGGUGUAGCUAGUAUUGGAGAGUUUGCCUAGCAUGUGUAGGACCCUGGGUACUG
rnacentral:lncRNA from 1 species